rnacentral:rRNA from 1 species
CCUUCGGGAACCGUGAGACAGGUGGUGCAUGGCUGUCGUCAGCUCGUGUUGUGAAAUGUUGGGUUAAGUCCCGCAACGAGCGCAACCCUUAUCUUUUGUUGUCAGUGGUCCGGCCGGGAACUCAAAGGAGACUGCCAGUGAUAAAGUGGAGGAAGGUGGGGAUGACGUCAAGUCAUCAUUUCCCUUACGACCAGGGCUACACACGUGCUACAAUGGCGCAUACAAAGAGAAGCGACCUCGCGAGAGCAAGCGGACCUCAUAAAUUGUGUUGUAGUCCGGAUUGGAGUCUGCAACUCGACUCCAUGAAGUAGGAAUCGCUCGUAAUCGUGGAUCAGAAUGCCCCCCCGAAUACGUUCCCGGGCCUUGUACACACCGCCCGUCACACCAUGGGAGU